CCAGUCCUGUUUCUAUUUUUAGAAGCAUGGCCGAUACGGACAAACUAAAAAAAUCAACAAAUAAAUUUGCUUGCAUACUGUAAUUAGCGUAGAUUUUGAAGAAAUUAUCCGAUCGGGCACCUUUAAUUCCAUGCAUUCAGCGGAAAGUAGGACACUUUAUGACUUUAGCCGUUUUGUGACGUGGGCAAUCUCGGUAACCGGAUGAGGGGGAUUAUAUUACCGACAAGUACGAAAGUUGCUGCAAGAUGCAAAAAGGAAACUCCGCACCAAACAAAGCAGUACCAUAAGCAAACAGACAUUCUGAUGGGGUUUCAAGAAUGUUGGAGAAAAAUAUUGUCUUUAUAGAGUGAGCAGGAUUUUUAUUGUUGUCAAUACAUCGGAUGUAAAAGCUUGCUAACAUUAAUAAUUCAACGCUCUGAGUGGGACUCGAACCUACAUCGGUGUAUGGCAAGUGAUUCGAAGUCAGGCAUGUCAUUUUGCGCAGUCUUGAAACACGCCAUGUACCCGGAUAAUCUUAACUCUGUUCAGCGACCCUAACUCAGUGCCAACAUGGCGGAUGUAAAGCCGAUACAACUUUGUUUUCUGUGUAAUUACGAUGUAUAAAGGAAUUUUCUAUUGUUAUAUCUAUCUCCAUUGAUCAAGUACAUGUAUAUAUUUAUUUCAAAAUGUAUCAUAUUAAAUAUAUCAACCAUUGUGUUUUCAGGUGGAAAAACGACGAACAAGGCAACUUUUUCAAUGAAAACUUUUACAAAAAAUCUUUAAAAAUACUUCUAUGCUUUUGAUGCCUCGACUAUUUUGUUGUUUGAAAUCAAAGAUAUACUGCUGUAUAGGCCCGUUUACACUAUGUUGUUAACCCACUACAUGUUGACACAAUACAUGUUCAGAUGUACCGACAGCGAGAAAAGGGAUAAAAACCUAACUUUGAUUUGAUAAAAACCGAACUCAGUUUACAUGAGGAAUGGAUAAAAACCUAACUUACACGAAAUUGCGUGACGGAUAAACACCUAACUGACUAGUAUUCUAUAGAAUUAGAAAUGAAUGAGUUGACAUGUACAUGGUCUGAUUAUUGUAAACAUUACUUUAUAAGCGGUAUUGUCUUCAAACUUUGUCAUUAAAUUUAAAAGAUGUUAUAUGUAUGCCCACUACAGUCAAAUAUUUUUUCAUAAUUUUAAUAUUAUGCAAAUAGCAAUGUUUGGAAAAAUCUGGAUAAACUCUCAAAAAUAACUGAGUAUAAAAGUCAAAAUUAUAUUUAUAUAAGAAAUUAUUUAAUACCACCGAUGUUCGAAGUUCUGUAGUCCCCAACCCUCUCUCCCUCCAUCUCUCUCUCUCACACACACACACACACACACACACGCACGCACGCACGCACGCACACGCACGCACACACACACACACACACACACACUGUUUCAGAAGAAUGGUGUUUGUUUCAAAUCUUGUAUAUCGUGUAGUGUAAAAUAUUUUUAUAGAGGUGCUAAUGGAAUAUUUUUGAUAUUGUUUAAAUUGGAUUAGAUUUAUGAUUAAUUUUUAAAUAUGAUAUUUUUUCAGACGGUAAUUAGGGAAGAAAAGUGUGUGUGUGUGUGUGUGUGUGUGUGUGGUGUGGUGGGGGAGGGGGAGUGAUCCAUGGACUGACGGGAGAGGGGUGUGGGUAUCCUUACAUUUUUCACUUGUUCACGGACACUUAAAAGUCCACUUCUCAAAUUUCACUUGCUCUGAUUUGUAAUAUUAAACCUUCAUGAAAGCGCAAAUAGACUGGAGAUCGAGUUCUUUAUUUAGGACAAUAAAAUAGAAAAGCAUAUCACAGUAACUGUGGUAAAAAAAUAAGCUGUUGAAAUAUUUGCCUUUUAACGUUUACAAAAGUCUGAAAUCGCGUAAGCAGUGUUCGGGAUCUUUUGGGGUCAUGUCCGAAACACUGCCCACGCAAUGGUGCAAAGCCAGAUGAAUUCAGAGAAAGACUCUUAAAACGUUCCGACUUAUUUUAGUCAUAUUUGCGAUCUCUGUGUGCUUUUGAUUUUAAUUUGGCUGACUACUGGCUCAGAUAUUUCCUUUGGCAGUGACUUAUUGUCUCAGCAGUUGGAAU